rnacentral:snoRNA from 1 species
AAACCAUGAUGAAGACAACGCCGAAGUAAUUCUUUAUAUCUUUCCCAAGCUUUGAACAACUAUUUAGAAUCUUGCUACAUAAAUGAUGUAAUAUCAUUCCUAAUUUU